AUUGAACGCUGGCGGCAUGCCUUACACAUGCAAGUCGAACGGCAGCACGGGUGCUUGCACCUGGUGGCGAGUGGCGAACGGGUGAGUAAUACAUCGGAACAUGUCCUGUAGUGGGGGAUAGCCCGGCGAAAGCCGGAUUAAUACCGCAUACGAUCCACGGAUGAAAGCGGGGGACCUUCGGGCCUCGCGCUAUAGGGUUGGCCGAUGGCUGAUUAGCUAGUUGGUGGGGUAAAGGCCUACCAAGGCGACGAUCAGUAGCUGGUCUGAGAGGACGACCAGCCACACUGGGACUGAGACACGGCCCAGACUCCUACGGGAGGCAGCAGUGGGGAAUUUUGGACAAUGGGCGAAAGUCUGAUCCAGCAAUGCCGCGUGUGUGAAGAAGGACUUCGGGUUGUAAAGCACUUUUGUCCGGAAAGAAAUCCUUGACUCUAAUACAGUCGGGGGAUGACGGUACCGGAAGAAUAAGCACCGGCUAACUACGUG
rnacentral:rRNA from 1 species